GUGCUCGCUUCCAGCAGGACAUACACCAAAAUUGGAAUAAUACAGAGAUUAGCAUGGCCCCUGCGCAAGGAUGGAAUGCAAAUUCAUGAAGUGUUUCAUAAUUUU